rnacentral:lncRNA from 1 species
GUCCUUUCGGUUGGUAUUUGUUGAGCAAGGAGCACGUUCGUUCAGGACGGCUGACACUGGGCUUUCCCUGGACUCGCGGGGCUGAGAUGAAUGAACCCAGGCAUCACCGAUGCUUCCGUGGCCACAAUUGGGUGUAGUCUUAGGAGACUGUUCCAAGGUGGGAAAAAACAAGAAAGCAAGACCCUGCGCAUCAUGAGUGGGAACCUGUGGCACAGAACAUGUUCUCGGUGUAGUGGAAAGCAAAAGGCAGGCUUCCUGGUCCGGCAGCCAGGCAAGGCUGUGGCCCGUUCAGACUGGCUGAAGCAUAUGGAGGUUCCAUGGUAGGGGUCGAACUGGAACUGAAGCUGCCAGCCUAUACCACAGCCCCAGCAACACAGGAUCCGAGCUGCAUCUUCAACCUUCACCACAACUCAGGGCAACACCAGCUCCUUAACCAACUGAGGGAGGCCGGGGAUGGAAGCUGCGUCCUCCUGGAUGCUGGUUAGAUUCGUCAUCCGCUGAGCCCCAGUGGGCACUCCUUCCCUGAUGUCCUUGUUUCUGCAGUUCAGCACCCGCUGUUCUCAUCACCCUUCUUCACGACCUCUGAGUCCUUUCUGCUCCCUCACUGCUCCUUCCUCCCCGGGCACAACUCCUGCCUCAUCGCAGACCCAAAAGCUGUCUCCAGGCACUGGGUAAAAUCGCAGGCUGUAGGAAAAGCCGGUUUUAAAAAAGGAACCCAGAUCAGGCAUCUGUGAGAGCCUGGACCGUCCAUCUCCCCGCAAAAAGAGAGUGACGUCAAUGAAGACAAAAUAGCAUCUGAGGAAAGAAAGAGCCGGUCAUCUUACAGGUUUGUUUAAAGCCACGAAUUUACGCGUCCAAGAAGCUUCGCAAAUGAAAACCAGCACAGGCUUUAUGAAGUCCGCUCACCCAUCACAGUCAUAAUGAAACCAGUGGAAAGGAUGAGAAGCGUCCAGAGACGAUGUCAUGUUCCGUCCGGAGGAGAAGCGGUUCGGACGAGUCGAGCUUCCACCUCCGAAACCAGUGCUGUCAGCAGAGGGGGCAUUCUGGAGAGACGGAACGGGCCGGCCUGGGAGUCUCCUGGCGACAUUCUUGGGGCGUGAAGGUGAAACGGGCAUCGUCAGAGGGAGGAAUGUGGAGAGACUUGGUGCCCAUGAACCUGCUCAAAGGGAAAUGGUGAGGGGGAGUCUUCGGGCGGAAAGGAAGCCAUUCUUGGGGGCACUUGCAGCGUCACCAGUGAAGGGAGACCCCCAGGUGGGCAGUAGAAGGUGCAGGUAAUUGCCUGUGGUCUCCCCUCAGGUCUUUGAAACGCAUGGGGCUUUUGAAAGCAAACAUCGCGUGUGGUGGGGAGUUUGGUGCAUGCAGACGAGGACAGAGCAGCUACAGCAAGAGGGCGGGGGGUGCAGGGGUCUUAGGAUGAUGUGGGUUCUGUGUUUCUCUGAGGCGCUGAGAACAUUCGGUCUGACAUUGGGCGUGCGUAUUAUACCUCCUGGUGCAGCCACUUGCACAGCCCAGCAAGAGCUACAACUGGAACACCAGUGGAUACAGUGGAUACUAAGAAAUAUUCCCAAAGCCAGAAGGAGGCAGGAGAGGGACACUCGAAGAGCAAACAAGAGCAGGGACAAGGAGCAGAACGAAGGAUGAGUCUUGAUACAGCCUCGAUGGUCAUUCCAUGACCUGUGAGCGGUGACAGCACCACUAACUUGUGAACAUUGUCAGACUGGACCAAGAAUUAAAGGGCCCCAUUUGGGAAUUUGGAAAUUAAAGGGCACCCUUCUGCCUAAUGCACAAGGCAAAGAAGGCCUCAGUGAAAACUGGAAACUAUUUUGAACUGGAUGGAAAUGAAAGUACAGCCCCCUCGUCCUUGGGGGAUGCAGCCAAACCCGUGUUUAGGGGGAACGGAGACCAGCACGUGUGGAUGGAAGGUCCAGUGUGCACACUGGGGCAGAGGCUGGAGAGCAGCCCCUGAACCAGCGGCCCCAUCCCUGGGUUACCAAGGGCCCUGUAUGUGGUGUGGCUCUGGGGGAUGGUGAAACCACAGUCAAAGCCCCAAGGGCUGAAGUUCCCAUUGUGGCUCAGUGGUUAACGAAUUCAACGAGGAACCAUGAGGUUGCGGGUUCCAACCCUGGCCCAGCUCAGUGGGUUAAGGAUCCAGCGUUGCCGUGAACUGAGGUGUAGGUUGCAGUCGCAGCUCGGAUCCCGCAUUGCUGUGGCUCUGGUGUAGGCUGGCGGCUACAGCUCUUGUUAGACCCCUAGCCUGGGAACCUCCAUAUGCCGUGGGAGUGUCCCUAGAAAAGGCAAAAAAAAGACAGGAAAAAAAAAAAGUCCCAAGGGCUUUGUGCCCACCCCUGUGGACACGUCUCUUUCCUUGAGAGCCUCUUCUCCUCCCUGAGUCCAGGGACGUCUCUCUGUCUAGCCUGUUCUCCUGCCCACGAGUGUAGUAUCCUGUUCAGCCCCCAGAUGUCUGCGCAUUGGAAGCAUUUUCUAAAUUUAUUCAUUAAAAUUUCUUUUUGGUCUUUUUGCCAUUUCUUGCGCCGCUCCGAUGGCAUAUGGAGGUUCCCAGGCUAGGGGUCUAAUUGGAGCUGUAGCUGCGGGACUACGCCAGAGCCACAGCAACGCAGGAUCCGAGCCGCGUCUGCAACCUACACCACAGCUCACGGCAACGCCGGAUCCUUAACCCACUGAGCCAGGCCAGGGAUGGAACCCGCAACCUCAUGGUUCCUCGUCGGAUUCGUUAACUACUGCGCCACGACGGGAACUCUUUUUAAAAUGUUUUACUAUAGGCGACUUAACCGUGUUCUGUGGCACAGCAAAGUGACCCGUUCAUAUGCAUUGGUUCUUUCCUUCACAUCCUCCUCCAGCAUGUUCCGUCACACGUGCUCAGAGUCCCAUCCCCGGGCGAUCCAGCCGGAUUCCACUGCUUACCCACCCGCAUGCAGCAGCUGGCAUCCAGCAAGGGUUGAAUGCCUUUGCUCUCCUUAGCAUUUGCAGAGCCCCGAGCAUCACUGCUCCCCCCAAACCUGGCACUGCCCAGUGGUGACUCAGGCCCUGACACUGUAGACGACAGCUGAGGGUGUCACUUUGUUGGGAGGGCAAUAUCGUGGGCCACCUACGCCGUCAUGGGGGCUCACCUUGACCUCUGGACCUGUUCGUGGCUCAGGUUUACCUGUCUCCCAACAGUGGGUUGCAGCCUUGUGACUUGGUGGGGAUGGCAGUGCCCAGGUCGUCACGGGAAGCUCCAUUCGCACAGACGCCCGAUAUCUCUUUCCGUCAGUGUCUGUCGGGCACUGGGGGCACAUCAGGAGCCGUGUUGCGAUGGCACCUGGCUUUCCGCUGCAGGUGAUGGAUGAGAUGACCUGAACCUGCAGGGACCGAACCUCCCCUCAGCCCCUGGGCUCCGUGAGAAUCGCCAGGCCUCCCAGUGCCCACGGGUUCGUCGGGUCCUGGACGGUAGCCCGAGGCUCCGGCAGAGCCCCGAUUCUAAAACCGUGGGCUCCCCUCAGACCCGCACCGGUCUCAGUUCCUUGAGAAGUCCCUUGUCCUCUCAGGUAUGACACCUGCUGCUUCCACAGUCCAAGGAUGCGGACCCAGAGCUGUGCCGCUCUCUGUGCCGGGUGUUGCCGGGUGCGGUGGCGUGUGCCUUGCUGGAGGGGCUGUGUCUUGGCGGGUCUCAGAGAACAGGUCCUCUGCCAGGAUCUCUGCUUUGGCAGGCUCUGAAUCCUUGAAUUGCUUUUUUUCUUAAAAAAAGAGUUGGGGCUCAUUGGGUUAAGACCCUGACUAGUAUCCAUGAGGACGUGGAUUCGAUCCCUGGUCUCACUCAGCGAGCUAAGGAUGUGGUGUGGCUGUGGCUGUGGUGUAGGCUGGCAGCUGCAGCUCUGAUUGGACCCCUGGCCUGGGAACCUCCAUAUGCUGCAUGUGUGGUCCUCGAAAAAAAGGAAAAUUAAAAAAAAAAAAAA